UAAGUUAGUAAGGGCGCACGGUGAAUGCCUUGGCACUAGGAGCCGAUGAAGGACGGGACUAACACCGAUAUGCUUCGGGGAGCUGUAAGUAAGCUUUGAUCCGGAGAUUUCCGAAUGGGGAAACCCACUGUUCGUAAUGGGACAGUAUCUUUACCUGAAUACAUAGGGUAUGGAAGGCAGACCCGGGGAACUGAAACAUCUAAGUACCCGGAGGAAGAGAAAGCAAAUGCGAUUUCCUGAGUAGCGGCGAGCGAAACGGAAGAAGCCCAAACCAAGAGGCUUGCCUCUUGGGGUUGUAGGACACUCUAUACGGAGUUACAAAGGAACGAAGUAGGUGAAGUGGUCUGGAAAGGCCAGCCGAAGGAGGUAACAGCCCUGUAGCUGAAACUUCGUUCCCUCUUGAGUGGAUCCUGAGUACGGCGGGACACGUGAAAUCCCGUCGGAAGCUGGGAGGACCAUCUCCCAAGGCUAAAUACUCCCUAGUGACCGAUAGUGAACCAGUACCGUGAGGGAAAGGUGAAAAGCACCCCGGAAGGGGAGUGAAAGAGAUCCUGAAACCGUGUGCCUACAAGUAGUUGGAGCCCAUUUAUGGGUGACAGCGUGCCUUUUGUAGAAUGAACCGGCGAGUUACGAUCCCGUGCAAGGUUAAGUCGAAGAGACGGAGCCGCAGCGAAAGCGAGUCUGAAUAGGGCGCAUGAGUACGUGGUCGUAGACCCGAAACCAGGUGAUCUACCCAUGUCCAGGUUGAAGUCCAGGUAACACUGGAUGGAGGACCGAACCCACGCACGUUGAAAAGUGCGGGGAUGAGGUGUGGGUAGCGGAGAAAUUCCAAUCGAACUUGGAGAUAGCUGGUUCUCCCCGAAAUAGCUUUAGGGCUAGCCUUAAGGUAAGAGUCUUGGAGGUAGAGCACUGAUUGGACUAGGGGCCCCCAUCGGGUUACCGAAUUCAGUCAAACUCCGAAUGCCAAAGACUUAUCCUUAGGAGUCAGACUACGAGUGAUAAGGUCCGUGGUCAAGAGGGAAACAGCCCAGAUCACCAGCUAAGGUCCCAAAGUGUACGUUAAGUGGCAAAGGAUGUGGAGUUGCUUAGACAACCAGGAUGUUGGCUUAGAAGCAGCCACCAUUUAAAGAGUGCGUAAUAGCUCACUGGUCGAGUGACUCUGCGCCGAAAAUGUAACGGGGCUAAACGUACCACCGAAGCUGUGGAUUGACACUUACGUGUCAGUGGUAGGGGAGCGUUCUAAGGGCUUUGAAGCUAGACCGAAAGGACUAGUGGAGCGCUUAGAAGUGAGAAUGCCGGUGUGAGUAGCGAAAAGACAGGUGAGAAUCCUGUCCAUCGAAAGCCUAAGGUUUCCUGAGGAAGGCUCGUCCGCUCAGGGUUAGUCGGGACCUAAGCCGAGGCCGAAAGGCGUAGGCGAUGGCCAACAGGUUGAUAUUCCUGUACCACCUCUUUACCGUUUGAGCAAUGGAGGGACGCAGGAGGAUAGGGUAAGCGCGUCGUUGGUUGUGCGCGUCCAAGCAGUUAGAGCGACAAGUAGGCAAAUCCGCUUGUCAUACGCUUAAGCUGUGAUGGCGAGGGAAAUAAAGUACCGAAGUUCCUGAUUCCACACUGCCAAGAAAAGCUUCUAGCGAGGUAGAAGGUGCCCGUACCGCAAACCGACACAGGUAGGUGAGGAGAGAAUCCUAAGAUGCGCGAGAGAACUCUCGUUAAGGAACUCGGCAAAAUGACCCCGUAACUUCGGGAGAAGGGGUGCUCUGAUAGCGUGCAAGCGCGAGAGAGCCGCAGUGAAUAGGCCCAAGCGACUGUUUAGCAAAAACACAGGUCUCUGCGAAGCCGUAAGGCGAAGUAUAGGGGCUGACACCUGCCCGGUGCUGGAAGGUUAAGAGGAGGGGUUAUCCGUAAGGAGAAGCUCUGAAUCGAAGCCCCAGUAAACGGCGGCCGUAACUAUAACGGUCCUAAGGUAGCGAAAUUCCUUGUCAGGUAAGUUCUGACCCGCACGAAAGGUGUAACGACUUGGGCACUGUCUCAACGAGAGACUCGGUGAAAUCAUAGUACCUGUGAAGAUGCAGGUUACCCGCGACAGGACGGAAAGACCCCAUGGAGCUUUACUGCAACCUGAUAUUGAAUUUUGGUACAGCUUGUACAGGAUAGGUAGGAGCCUGAGAAGCCGGAGCGCCAGCUCGGUGGAGGCAUCGGUGGGAUACUACCCUGGCUGUAUUGAAAUUCUAACCCACAGCCCUGAUCGGGCUGGGAGACAGUGUCAGGUGGGCAGUUUGACUGGGGCGGUCGCCUCCUAAAAGGUAACGGAGGCGCCCAAAGGUUCCCUCAGAAUGGUUGGAAAUCAUUCGCAGAG
rnacentral:rRNA from 2 species